rnacentral:lncRNA from 1 species
GUACAACAAAAGAGAGCCCGAACAGUGACAUCUGUUCUUCGGAACAAACAGUUUCACCCUGUUCUUAGGAGCUCGAACUUGACAUAUAACAAGUGAAUUACAUAGCCACACGAGACUUUAUUUAUGCAUUUUUAUGGCAUAAACAAAUCUUCAUAGACCCAAUAUCUGAAUCAUGCAACAUUUCAAUAUAGCUUAAUUUUCCUGAAUAACUAUUUUCAAUAGAAUUAGUUAUGACAUGCAUACUUAGUUACUACACCCUUCUUAUUCUUCAUUGUAGAUUCUCAGGAAGCCCACAAGGAAGUAUUAUCCCUGUCUCUUUCUCUAUGUCUCUUCAACUCUAUUAGAAUUCAAAUUUGGCCCUAUUUUUCCGGAGAUGGUUUUUCCUAGCAAAUCCCUGCAUAAACAAACGUUCUUCAAAAUCUAAGUAUGGAAUGCUUAUUUGUUUAAUUGGUAGAGAAAAUCACUUCAUAAUCUCCUCUAGGCAUUACAGCAAACACGUGGUACACAACAGAAAUCAACAUAUGUACCUUAGCAAGAAAGGGUAAUGCUUCAUUGUCUACGCACUUGGCACCAUUGUUUUGGGCACAUGUGGCUCUUUGAAAUAUAUCAUCCUAAGCAUAACAAUUUAGAUACUAACAUAUUUGGUUGCUUAAUACUUUGAUACAUGGGAAGAAGAAUGUUUCAUUUUGACACAUUUAGUUCUGUUGUGGACCAUGAAAUAAUAUUGCAGCCACUAAUUAAACCAUGCAGUCAAAUUGGUAUGAAAGCAUAAUUAUGAAUCUUCCCAUUAAAGAUUAAAAUGCGAUAUAAUUCUAGGCUGACAACAAUAAAAGAAGCAGUACAGAUCAACCAAAAUGCGAAAUUCAACAGAAGAGUGCAAGUUUCAAGAAUCUGGAAAGAGAUUAUGUAGUACAAUAUUUAAGGAUCCUCUAGGACCUCCUGCAGGUAGAACUGUCAUCUGCAUCAUCUACUAACUCUACUACAAAAUGAAGCUGCUCGUGUGUCAGCA